AGCAGUAGCCGCGGUAAUACGAAGGGUGCAAGCGUUAAUCGGAAUUACUGGGCGUAAAGCGUGCGUAGGCGGUUUGUUAAGUCUGUUGUGAAAUCCCCGGGCUCAACCUGGGAAUGGCAAUGGAUACUGGCAAGCUAGAGUGUGUCAGAGGAUGGUGGAAUUCCCGGUGUAGCGGUGAAAUGCGUAGAGAUCAGGAGGAACAUCAGUGGCGAAGGCGGCCAUCUGGGACAACACUGACGCUGAGGCACGAAAGCGUGGGGAGCAAACAGGAUUAGAUACCCCUGUAGUCCCUGUCUCUUAUAC
rnacentral:rRNA from 1 species